rnacentral:rRNA from 1 species
GACAGAGGGUGCAAACGUUGUUCGGAUUUACUGGGCGUAAAGCGCGUGUAGGCGGCUUUGCAAGUCGGAUGUGAAAGCCCACGGCUCAACCGUGGAAGUGCAUCCGAAACUGCAUGGCUCGAGUCUCGGAGAGGAAGGUGGAAUGCUUGGUGUAGAGGUGAAAUUCGUAGAUAUCAAGCGGAACACCGGUGGCGAAGGCGACCUUCUGGACAGUGACUGACGCUGAGACGCGAAAGCGUGGGGAGCAAACAGG